GAGAGAGCUUUUUCAUAUGGCUCAUUCUUUUUAAUAAAAUAUUUUUUCUUUCCUAGUUAUUUUUCUUCUAGCACCUCUUUUCUAUUAUUUGUUUAGUGUUUGUUCUAGAUCUUGAGCCGACACGAUCGAUCUACUCCGCAUAGCGUGCCGUUCUAUAUGGUAUCAGAGAGAGAUUGGAGAGUGGUUAAGUGAUUUGCGGCUUCGAUCAGAUUUUUUUGGAGCAUAAAUUUUGGAGCGGCAACUUAAUUGCUGGUAGUUUAUAUGUUCAUAGCUCGGUAUGGUUGAAGAGCUUUCAAUAAUUCGCUGUGCUAUAGUGCAAGCUUGUGGACUCUUGUUUUAGUAAUUCCAGAGAUGAGUUAUCAUGGUUGAUGCUACUAUCUUCUCUCUCAAUAGGUUCAACAUGCCUGAACUUCCCAACAUCAAUGUGACUACUUUUAUUAUUACUACUUCUCUUCAUAAGUUAAACAACAUUUGUUAUCCAAUUUGGAAGCCUAUUGUCAAGUCUUAUAUGAAAAGACAAGAUUUAUAGGAUAUUCUGGAUGAGUCAAAGUCGAUGCCAACAUAUACUCUCAAUGAUGAUGUUGUAAGAAGGAAGGAGAAUCUGAAAUCAAGAAAACUGAUGUGGAUUAAAAGUGAUAGAAUAAAUUAUCUCCAUAUCUAGAAUAUACAAGAGCCAAAAAAGUAUGGAAUGUUCUCGUGGCUAUCCACUCAAAUUCAAGUAAGGUGAGACAUUUUAAAAAAAAGUUGCCUGAAGAGUGGAUCUUAGUUCCAGGCUUCCAUAAAAAU
rnacentral:lncRNA from 1 species